GGGUGCUUAGCUCAGCUGGGAGAGCAUCGCCCUUACAAGGCGAGGGUCACUGGUUCGAGCCCAGUACCACCCACCA
rnacentral:tRNA from 2 species